CCCGGUUCUGUCCCAUCCAGGCCCAGCUGGUGGUUCUGUGCCUUCCCAUACAGCUUCCUCAUCUUCGUGUACGACGAGAUCCGGAAACUCAUCCUGCGCCGGAACCCCGGAGGCUGGGUCGAGAAGGAAACCUACUACUGAGCCCCCCCCCGCCCCCCGCGCCGGAGACCACGAGGCUGGUGGGACGUCGGCUCGGAGGAAAGUGACUCGUCCCCCCACCGUGGCUGAGAACAUGAAACUGUCCCUGCCCCCCCCCGCCUGGGGGGGGGUUAGUUUAUUGUGUCACCAACAUCCCCCCACCGCUGGGACCGAACCCAGGAUCCCCAGAGCUAAGGGGGGGCUGGGAGCAGUUGGGGGGGCUCUUGUCCAGUGUGGGGGAGACAGUCACGGGAGAUACAGACCCCCCCUGGUCACACAGGUCUCCUGUCUUCUCCCCCCAGGGCAUGUGUGUGUCCCCACCCCGCACAUAGAUUCCCCAUCUUCCUCCCCCCCCCCACUCACCCCCUUCUCCAUUCCCAGUGGGGCAUGGGGGGCAGAAGCCAGCCCUCAGCCCCAGACUGGGGGGGGCAUACUGGGGGGGGGGUCAGCAGAGCACCAGGGAGGGGUUGUGGAACAGAAUCCAGGAGUCCUAAUCCCCCCCCGCAUGCCUUUACCAAGCCAAUAGCUUCCCCCUGACAGUCUUGGGUGCCCCCCCUUGCCCUCCUGCCCCCCCCCCCGACCCCAGGGCCCUGUCUGAGGGGUUGGGGGAUCCUGCGGCUGCCCUUUGACCCCAGAUUCCAGGUUAUGGACCAAGGGAAACCAGGGCCUCAUCCGUGUGUGUGUGGGGGGUCCCUAUGGCUGGGGGGAGGCAGAGGGGUCUGUCCCUCCCAUCCCCAGUGUCCAUGGGGAGGGGGGUGUUGUGCUCGCUCCCCCUCCCCCGUCCUGUGUGUGCUGGGGGGGAGCCUUACCCCCCCCCACCCCCGUUUGGGGAUCGUGUCGUCAUGUGACAAAAACAAACUCAAUUUAACAAAUAAAACCAAACCCACCCCCGGA